rnacentral:rRNA from 1 species
AACGAACGCUGGCGGCAGGCCUAACACAUGCAAGUCGAACGUGAAGCCACCUUCGGGUGGUGGAAAGUGGCAGACGGGUGAGUAACGCGUGGGAACGUGCCUUUCGGUUCGGAAUAACCCAGGGAAACUUGGGCUAAUACCGGAUACGCCCUUCGGGGGAAAGAUUCAUCGCCGAAAGAUCGGCCCGCGUCGGAUUAGCUAGUUGGUAGGGUAAUGGCCUACCAAGGCGACGAUCCGUAGCUGGUCUGAGAGGAUGACCAGCCACACUGGGACUGAGACACGGCCCAGACUCCUACGGGAGGCAGCAGUGGGGAAUAUUGGACAAUGGGCGAAAGCCUGAUCCAGCCAUGCCGCGUGGGUGAAGAAGGCCCUAGGGUUGUAAACCCCUUUCAGCGGGGAAGAUAAUGACGGUACCUGCAGAAGAAGCCCCGGCUAACUCCGUGCCAGCCGCCGCCGUAAUAC